CAUCUAUGAUUUCCUGUCUUUCCUGUUUCCGCUUCGAAGCAGACUCGUCUGUCGUGAUGUGGGAGGUAUGUUUCAUCACAGUCUCAGAAGAUGAUCAGUUUCAUGACCACCCUCUGCCUUUCCCAUCGCAGCCUGUUUGCUGCCCCUGAAUCCAGCAAAAUUCAGUUCCCUGGAAAACCUUCCUACCUCCCUCUAAUUAAAAUGAAGAAACAAAAGCUUGGAAUGUAAGUUAAACCUAACAAGGAGC
rnacentral:lncRNA from 1 species